ensembl:snRNA U2 U2 spliceosomal RNA
AUCGCUUCUCGGCCUUUUGGCUAAGAUCAAGUGUAGUAAAGGUAAUACAUUUACAUACUUAAAAAAUAGUUAUACAGCAAAUAGUUCUGCUACCCAUU